rnacentral:rRNA from 1 species
UGGCGCCUGUUUAACAAAAACAUUGCCUCUUGCCCCCUUAUAAGAGGUUCAUCCUGCCCAGUGACAACUCUGUUUAACGGCCGCGGUACCCUGACCGUGCAAAGGUAGCAUAAUCAUUCGCCUUUUAAUUGUAGGCUAGUAUGAAAGGACAAACGAAGACCCCACUGUCUCAAAAUUAAUCUCUAAAAAUUAUCCUUCAGGUGAAGAGACCUGAAUAAGAAAAAAGGACAAGAAGACCCUGUUGAGCUUUAUUUUUAUAUUUUAGCCCUAUAAACUUUCAUAGCACCUUUCCUUACCCUAUAUAUAAAAUUUAGUUGGGGCGACUAGGGAACAACAAAAGCUUCCCUCCCUCCUUACAGACUUUCCAGUCUUUCCUAUGAUCCAAAUCACUUGAUCAAAGAAUCGAGCUACCACAGGGAUAACAGGCUAAUCCUCCUUAAGAGCCCAUAUUGACAGGAGGGAUUGGCACCUCGAUGUUGGCUUAGGACCCCCAAAAAGCGCAGCAGCUUUUUAAGGUAGGUUUGUUCAACCUUUAAUGUCCUACGUGAUCUGAGUUCAAGACCGGCA